CUUCUAUUGUUUGGAUAUUGAUAGCCUGGAUAAAUGCUGUGAUUUUCUUAACUUUUUUUUUCUAUUGUAUAUUACUUUUAAUUUUCUCUUCCAAGAGAUUGUCUUAUUUUUAAUGUUCCAAUACUUUUGUUUAAUUGUUAUUUCUGAUAUUAUUAUUAUUUCCAUGAGGUAUCUUUUGUUCUGUGACAUUGUUGUGGUAUCUUUUAAUUGAUGUAAAAGAUGUAGUAUCUUAUUUUCUCUCUCUAAAGAAAGCAAUUUUUUUACAUUCUUCCAUAUUAUCUUCUUUUCCUAUGACUUCAGUAUAUUUUUCUUUUUUCCCUUUAAUUUUCAUUUUAAUGACUGGUGGUAUCAACAUUAAUGUUCCUAUUUAAGAGCGAGGCGCUCAAAGGCUGAUUAGUUCUCUGCUGGAAGGCUUGUAACCAGUAGUCUUCACAAAUGCAAUGGUUAGAUAGCAAGGCAGCCAUCUCAGCUGGAAGCCCCCAAAUAUAAGUCUCUGGAGAUUUUUUCCUUGGAUUGCACAGUUUCUGUACUCUCUUGCUUAAAUGAUAUAGUCUGGUUUCAAACACUGUGGGAUGAGGACAUUGGAGGGAGCCGUGUGUGGAGUUGCUUUUAAUCCUCUGUUUCAGUCCAUUUUCAGGUUUGCUUCUUGCUUAUGUCUGCAAGUCGAGUCACUGUGGUCCGGUUCCUCUGGACCCUGAGACCUGUUUCCAUUCUUGGUUUGGGAUACUUAUGUGCCUAGCUGAGAAAAGGAAGAAGUAUUUCAUUCUUCAGGCUUCAAACAAUCAUGGAUGAUUAUGGAAAAAAAAAGACACUCUUUGGAUUUCUAUUGAUGAGAAUUUUACUCUGUAACUGAAGGAAAGGCUAGCCACAUCGUUCUUCCUCUGAAAAGGUUUUUAAUGCCAAUGUCCAAAGAUUACCGAGUGAUUCCAUGGAUGUCAACAGUGCAUUUAAAGUUUCCUGCAGAGAGGAAAUAUGCAGAUCACAAUGAAGGGCAAUGCUCAGGAAGCUGUUUUCAAGGAGAUCCAGGGCUAGGAGAAAAAGUCUUCAAAAAAUGUCUACCUAAAACAAAGUUUUUUUCAAUUGGAGGCAUCUGUCUAAGCAAUAUAGCCCAACCGAUCAGCUGCAUUCCUGCGGAGCCGUAUCUUCCGCAUAUAUAA
rnacentral:lncRNA from 13 species